UCCCUGGUGGUCCAGAGGUUAAGAAUCUGCUUUACAAGGCAGGGGACACAGGUUCGAUUCCUGGUCGGGGAA
rfam:Ovis aries breed Texel chromosome 13, whole genome shotgun sequence.